CCAAAGGCCAUGCCUAGUACGGCGAGUGAAGCGGCAACAGCUCAAAUUUGAAAGCUGGCCUUCGGGUCCGCAUUGUAAUUUGUAGAGGAUGCUUUGGGUGAAACGCCAGUCUAAGUUCCUUGGAACAGGACGUCAUAGAGGGUGAGAAUCCCGUAUGUGACUGGAAAUGUUAACCUAUGUAAAGCUCCUUCGACGAGUCGAGUUGUUUGGGAAUGCAGCUCUAAAUGGGAGGUAAAUUUCUUCUAAAGCUAAAUAUUGGCGAGAGACCGAUAGCGCACAAGUAGAGUGAUCGAAAGAUGAAAAGCACUUUGGAAAGAGAGUUAAAAAGCACGUGAAAUUGUUGAAAGGGAAGCGCUUGCAAUCAGACUUGUUUAAACUGUUCGGCCGGUCUUCUGACCGGUUUACUCAGUUUGGACAGGCCAGCAUCAGUUUCGGCGGCCGGAUAAAGGCUCUGGGAAUGUGGCCUUCACUUCGGUGAAGGUGUUAUAGCCCAGGGUGUAAUACGGCCAGCCGGGACUGAGGUCCGCGCUUCGGCUAGGAUGCUGGCGUAAUGGUUGUAAGCGACCCGUCUUGAAACACGGACC
rnacentral:rRNA from 1 species